rnacentral:rRNA from 1 species
AAUGAACGCUGGCGGCAUGCCUUACACAUGCAAGUCGAACGGCAGCAUGACCUAGCUUGCUAGGUUGAUGGCGAGUGGCGAACGGGUGAGUAAUGCAUCGGAACGUGCCUUUUAGUGGGGGAUAACGUAGCGAAAGUUACGCUAAUACCGCAUAUUCUCUGAGGAGGAAAGCAGGGGACCUUCGGGCCUUGCGCUAGAAGAGCGGCCGAUGUCGGAUUAGCUAGUUGGUGAGGUAAAGGCUCACCAAGGCAACGAUCCGUAGCGGGUCUGAGAGGAUGAUCCGCCACACUGGGACUGAGACACGGCCCAGACUCCUACGGGAGGCAGCAGUGGGGAAUUUUGGACAAUGGGCGAAAGCCUGAUCCAGCCAUGCCGCGUGAGUGAAGAAGGCCUUCGGGUUGUAAAGCUCUUUCGGCUGGGAAGAAAUCGCACCCUCUAAUACAGGGUGUGGAUGACGGUACCAGCAUAAGAAGCACCGGCUAACUACGUG